GGCCCCGGGCCCUCGACCGGG
rnacentral:miRNA from 1 species